UACGUAGGUGGCUAGCGUUGUCCGGAUUUACUGGGCGUAAAGAGCGCGCAGGCGGUCGUUCAAGUCGAGUGUGAAAGCCCCCGGCUCAACUGGGGAGGGUCACUCGAUACUGAUCGACUCGAAGGCAGGAGAGGGAAGCGGAAUUCCCGGUGUAGUGGUGAAAUGCGUAGAUAUCGGGAGGAACACCGGUGGCGAAGGCGGUUCUCUGGGCAUGUCCUGACGCUGAGGAGCGAAAGUGUGGGGAGCGAACAGG
rnacentral:rRNA from 1 species